GUUAGGUAAUUAACGGCUCUAUCUCUGACUCCAGCUCCGUUGUGUUUGUGUAACGGUCUGUAAAACCCUUGUGCUUCACAAUCCUCUCUCUCGUUCUAUCCAGGGUUUAUAAUCAAACCUCGGCUUCGAAUCGCUGACAAGCGUUCCUGUCUCUUGCUCAAUAUCCAAGUGGGCGAGGGAGAACGACAACGACGGCGACGCUUUGGCGGCGCAGAAGUUGAAGAAGCACAGGGGGAAGCACGACAAGCCGAAGCCAUGGGACGAAGACCCCAACAUCGACCACUGGAAGAUCGGCAAGUUCGACCCCUCCUGGAACGAAUCCGGUUUGCUCGAAGUCAGCUCCUUCUCCACUCUCUUCCCUCAAUACAGAGAAAAAUACUUGCAAGAGGUUUGGCCCAAUGUGAAAUCUGCUUUGAAAGAGUAUUGUAUUUCGUGUGAACUUAAUCUGUAAAAAACAGGCAAUGGUUGGAUAAGUCUGCAGAAGAGGAGCAAGAAGUGCACUGGAAAGAGAGUAGGAGAAUCCGGGUGAAAUCUUUGUUGUAUCAGAUUGCUCUCGUCCCAUCAAUGUCACGAGCUACAACGUGAGAUUUCUGAAGCAGCGCUAAGAGUUGCUGCAAUGAGUUAAUUUAAAGGUUUGAAGCAAGUCAGGAGGAUUGUGGAAGACUGCAUACUAAAUAGAAUGCAUCCUGUAUACCAUAUCAAGGUUCUUAUGAUGAAGAAAGAACUUGCAAAGGAUCCUGCACUUGCACAUGAAAACUGGGAUAGGUUUCUUCCCAAAUUCAAGAAGAAAAAUGUUAAACAAAAGAAGGUUAAGACUAAAGAGAAGAAACCAUAUACACCUUUCCCUCCUCCACAACAGCCUAGCAAGAUCGAUGAACAAUUGGCAAGUGGAUAAUUCUUCAUGUCUCAGAAAAAGAAAUCGACAAAGAAGUGGCAAGAGAAGCAGUAGCAGCAGGCACAGAAAACCACAGAAAACAAAAGAAAAAGAGAAGCUUCAUUUAUUCCCCCGGAGGAGCCGAGAAUCCAGGAUACAAAAUCUGAGGAUGAUACCAAAUAUGUGGCGUCCAUAGCCAUGUCUCUAAAGGAAAAGGCUAAAGGCGUUUGGAAGGCAAAAGUUGGGUGAGAAUAUCAAUGCUGAAGCUUAUAUUGCAGCAGCCGGCAAAUCUUCUGAUAAGAAAUCCAAGGCCAAGCGCUGAGUCUUUAAAUAUGAGUAUGGUGUGUCAGUGCUGAUGUGCUUAUAUGGCUGACAGUCUCAGUGUGGGGGCAUGACUGGUUAUAGGAAAUUUUGAGAAAUUAUAAAUUACUUUUCUGAAAAUACAAGCAACCCCUAAAAUGGUAUAAUCGUGGUCAUGGAUUGAGAGUAACGAGCAAACCUGCCAUUACUGUCACUAGAGAUCCGACGGAUCAUAAUAUCCAACAGAAAAAUGAGAAUACAUUAUUAAAUUUCCAGGCCA